rnacentral:lncRNA from 1 species
CUCUAAUAUCCUCAAACUUCUCAAUAUAAUCACAUUCCAUACUUAACCUCAAAUAAUGUCAAUUUGAAUAUUAAAUUACUAAAAUACCCUUGAAUUAAAAAUUAUCAAAAUACCCCUAAAAUCAUAAUUUACCAAUUUAACCUCAAAACCAUAAAUUAACAACUUAUCCUCAAUUUCAGCAAUUACUAAAAUACCCACAAAGUCUGGAAUUACAAAAUUGCCCUCAGAGUGCGAAAUUACUGAAAUGCCCUUGCCGACCGACGGUGACCGGGAUUCAACCGAUGGCGACGGGAAGCUCAGGUCUGAAAAUUAUGGCCACGCUGAGUCCAACGGUGGCAACGGUGACUUACCACGCGCAGCGACGGCACCGAAAUCUAGCUCGGAAACCGCGAAUGCUUAAGUGGCCGAUCGGCGGCAAAACGACGUCCCCAACGGCAGUGGAUGGCUGGAAAUGGCAGAGGGCAUGGUGGGGAACAAAACCCAAGUGGUAGCGUCACCGGAAACCGGCAAAAUCGCGGCGAAUUGGUGCGGCGAUCCUGCGGCUUUUCACGGUGGCUUUCCGGACAUAUUCCGGCGAUAAGGAUGGCAUGGAGAUGACCGGAAUCGCAGGAGCUUCCGAUCGGUACCAACCUUAGCUGGUGAGGUGGCAGGAACUGCGAGAUCCGGUCGGGUUACGUUCGCGGGUCGGGUUGACCCGAUUCUCUUUUCCCCCUCUCUCCCCCCGUGAGCUUUUCUUCCCUCUCUCUUUUUGUUUUUUUUUCUCUCUCUCUCUCUCUCUAUUUGUAAGGGUGUGGGGGUAUUACACUCCAUUUGAUCCCCAAGAAAUUCAAAUUAAAAGUUGAUUUUUGUGACACAACUUGUACAGUUCACACACUUCAACAGAAAAAAGAAACGAAAUACUACAGUGAACAAUAAAUUUGUGGGCUACUCCUUCAACAUGGUGGCAUAUGUUCGGCGGAGGCAGCAUUUUUGCUUUUGCACAUCUGCCAUUUUUCACAAUGAAUGCCAUUUGCAAGCCCCAGCUCUGAUGACGGUCUAAAUGGCAGUGGACGAACCAUGCUCCUGUUAAUAAAUACCAAUAAUAUUAUUGUUGACAUAAAUUUUUACUUAAUGUACAAUGAUUGAUUUGUAUUUUGAACUUUUUUUUUAAAUCGAGUUCUGUAAUUUAUUUUUUUCUUAAAGCAAGUGUCUCAAAUCACAUGUUUUCUCGUGAUUAAUUGUUCUGAAAAAAAAAAAAAAUUAUCAAAGGGUGCCCAUAUGCCGGCGAUAACUCUCUGACGCUCAAUUUAAUUUUUUUUACUUAAUUUUUAAAUAGAGAAAAUCAAGAGUGAGAUGGACUGAGUUUUUCUAACUCAUUUGGUGCCAUUUAUUCUCUUACCUUCAAAUGGGGGGAGGGGGGGUCUUGGCCUUUAUAUAGGCAAUUUAGAGUCGAUUGGAGAGGUUAUGCGGCACUUUUCUUGUGACAAGUGUCAGUCAAAACCCAUGCAUGGAAACACAUAUUCAUAUGUAUCAAUGCUUGCUCAUAACAAGUAAUCUUUGGACAUUUGCAUGUUUUUGGACCAUUAAUCUUUAAUGAAUUUUAGCUUAAAUUCGGCACUUAUAUUGACUCCUUACAAAGAGAAUUGAUUUUGUAACAUUUUGCCCGUAAGCGCAUUCCGUAAAAUAUUUGUUAGGUAGUAGGCUCAUUCCGUAGAAUGCUUAUUGGCAUGUUCGCACAUUUUAUAAGAUGCAUAUAUCUGCCCGUAGGUGCAUUUUCGUAGAAUGUAUAUUUAUCUGUAGCCGCAUUCCAUAUAAUGUAUAUUUAUUCGUAGGUGUAUUAUAUAGAAUGUGCAUUUGUCUGUAGGCCCAUUCCAUAAAAUGUGUAUUUGUCAUAGGUCCAUUCUAUAGAAUGUAUAUUUGUCCAUAGGCGCAUUCAGUAGAAUACUUAGUAGCUCGUGCGCUCUUAUUUGUAAAUAAUGGAUCUAUGUCAUUCUUUAUUGAAUAAUGUCUUUGGCAAUUUGUCGAAAACUCGCACUUUGAGCAUUUUACUUAAAAAUAUUUUCUAAGUUUCUAAGUCAUUCUUUGUAAGGAAUGGACUUAGGUCAUUAUUUAUAACCUAAAUCAUUCUUUAUAAGAAUGGACCUAGGUCAUACUUUAUAAAGAAUAGACUUAGGUUUUUCUUUGAUAAAUCACGCUUUUGGCGUUUUGUCAUAUCUUACAUUUAGACACUUUAUUUAGAAUUGUAAGUACCUUGAUUGUUCUUAUAGAUAAUAGGCCUAGGUUAUUUUAUGUAAAAUAUUUUUAUUGGGCCUAUAUUUUUUGUGGGUUUUGGGUCUUUCAUAAUUUGGUCUAACAAUUAUGAUUAGUUAAUGACAUUGUUAUUGAAAAUUUCCUCGACUUUAAGAGUUUCCAAAAAAAAAACAAAAUAUUGCUAGGGUGGUGGGGAUAUUUUCAGCCUAAAAAUUUAUGUAAACACACUCUAUUUUAAAAAAUUAUUUAUAAAAAUUUCACUUUAUUUUUUAGAAAUUAUAAUAAAGAAAAAGCUUAAAUAAUUAAUCAAUUAAAUCUGUUUUUGUACAUAAGUCUCUUGACCAUUUUUUAUCACUAAGGUUGUGUAAUAUAAUUUUAAUUUAAUUGUUUUAUCCUUAUAAUAUAAAAUGACUAAAUUAUCUAAAAUAUGUGCUCUUGUACCUUAAGUUAAAACUAUUAACGAGGAUUUAAUUGUUUAAUUGUUCAAAAUUCUACUUUAUUUGAUAUUAUUAAAAAAUAAUAUGAUCUGUAAUAGUUAUUUAUUUGAAGUGGGAUGGAUUACGCAAUGUGUGCGGGUGGAGAGAUGCAUUGGUGACGAUAUUUUUUAACAUUAUUAUAACUCCAUAAUAUUUGGAAGAAGGGAAGAAUAUUUCUCUACUUAACAAGCUUUCCAUAUUGAUCAAAUAAGUCCAUGAUUUUUAAGUAGGAAUAGGAAUAACAAUAUUAACCAUGCACAAUGAAAAAUAAUGCCGCAUACCCGGAUCGUUUGCUGUGAAUCUAAUGGCAGCCCAACAUUCUUAGGCACCAUAAUUGUAUUCUGAAGAGGAGGUUCAACAAAAUUAAAUCUCUUAGCAUCCUUAGCUCUAUCAAAAUUACCAAAUCCCCCACCCACCACAUAAAAACUGUAACCAUGCAAAUGCAUUGGAUGAUCAGUCCCUGCCAGCAAAUCUGUCCCCUGAAAAACAAUCUCCACCGCCGUAUUAUACUCAAGUACUUUCACCUCAAUCCGUGGCCUUUCUCGGCACGCUUAAAUUCAGCGGCAGAUUAUCCGCCGUGAAAUCGAAGAAUAGAGGAGGCUUUGCAGGGAAAUUAUCACUGUAUAUGCCGCUAACACGGUUAUAUUAAGCUUUUAAAAUGUCAGUGUAUGGGGCAGCAAAGCUUAUGUUACUAAUACUAGAAGCAAGCACGUGUCUUUGUCACAGGGCAAUGAGUUGACAGAAAUUGUGAAAAAUAAUUUCUUGUUUAACUUUUUGGGCACGUUAUAUUUGUGAUGGUCACUGUCUAGGUGUCUGAGGUAGUGAGGUUUUGUAAGAAAUUAACGGAAGCUUUUGUGUCAUCAUAAGAAGGAAGAUUUGGCAAAGGAGUUUUGGAAGAUGGGUAAAGUCCCUCGUAUUGGACAAUGGCAGUGGUGGUGGUGUUGUCGUCAUAGACGUCGGUGGCGCUGGAAUGAGCCUUGGCUGCCAUGUAAUAUUUGUUUGGAAUUUGGUUAGCUUUUAUCAAGACGUCAAUGAUUUGUCCUGGUGAAAUUGUCAGGUAUUCUACUUAAUGGCUUGGUGUAGCUGCCGUCGACUCCCACAAUUGUGAGCUCAUGUUUUGCGACAGCGAAGGAGACGGGGUCCUCCAGGCCGGCGUUGAUCAUGCGGAGGAGAUUAUAAGUCUUGCCCAAUUCCAUCAGUAACUUGAAUGUGUCUUUAAGAAAGUUGAAAGUAAUGGUGAAAAAUAUAUAUAAUCAAGUAAAACAAAGUUGUAAUUGGGGAGAAAAAAAAAAAUCUGAUGUGUGAAGGCCUAACAUUUUCUAAUUACAUUUUAAAACAUACCAACAUAGGUAAUAGAGAAUCGCCUAAUGUUGAAACUUUGUAAUCAAUCAAAGUUUAUGAAUAAAGAGGAAAAACAAUGCAAUUUGAAGCAAAAGAUAAGAGGAAAAAAAUGAUUAAAAAAAUCCUUGUUAUUGCAGUAAAUUAAUUACUUUCUAAUUUUCUCCUGUUUCAGAAUCCAUCAAACCCUCAAUACCAUUAAAAUAAUGCUAAUUUCCAACUUUUAUGUGUUGAAAAGUUGACAAUUUUUUAAUCGGGUGGGAGGUUCUUAAAUAAGUUUCGAACAUGAGGAAAAUUAACUAAUUUACAAAAACAACAAGGGGAGUUUUGAUCAUUUUCUUCACAAAGACAUUAGGAGGGAUUGAAAAAUCCAUACCUAAUUUUGAACUAAGAAAAAGAUCAACGGGUAGCUGUUAAUUGAGAUAAGCAUCUGAAACAUUAGGAUUUGUUCCUGAUUUGAUGAAUUGAUCAUAAAUCUCGAUCACGUCUUUCUUUCAUCACUCAGCCGUGCAUUAUUUUUAAAGAUUAUGGGUUGAAAUUAAUGAAAAUAAUACCCAAGAUGAUGGGCAUUUCAUCAUGAGGCUUGGGAAAAUGAUAAUAAGUUCCCUUCUUAGGAUAAACAACAAUGGCUCCAUGAACCGUUGUUCUUAACCAAUCACUAUGAGCAUGCCACCAAAUGGUUCCUUCUUCUGAAGAAAAUUUGACUUUUUGGCUAAAUUUUUUCUCCAGGUUUAAUAGGACAUUGUGUUAUAUAUUCAGAACCAUCCCCCCAUGGGUUCCUUGGCUGUUUCACUCCGUGCCUACAAACUAAAUCUUGUAAAUGAAUUUUUUUCACACUGUUCCGAGAUUGUAGCAAUAUAUAAAGUAUUUAUCUAGUGCAGAUAUAUUUUCAUUUUUUAAACAUUUGGACAAAAAUAAGAGAUAAAACAUACCAAGUACAACUAAAAGAUCCCAAAAGAAAUGCAUGGUAGACGUUUGCACUGGCCAGAUAAAUCAAUAUACACAAGAGGAGAGUAGAGAGAGGUAUUUGCGCACCAAUGUGAUGUUAUGUUUUAAUUGGCUUUGUCGUACACAUCAACUAUAAUUGCACCACCCUUGUGGGCGUACAAAGUUGGCUCAGGGAACUGUCCAUUUUGGGUCAUUAUUUUCUUUGUGCGGCAAAGCCUUGUGUAUGGAACAUCCUCAACCUGAAAGGAAUGGGUUAUUUGCAGGAUUAUGAUCGUUAUUGGACAACAAAUAAUUACUUACCUCAAAUUUGUGACAAACCACAGAUGGGCAAUGAAGGAAGUAACUCGUCAAUAACAAAAAUCCCAAUAUAUGGAAACCUGAAAUUUUCAUGAUUGGCAACAUUUUUCAGCAAAUAAAUAACUCAUUUUGUUCAAAUUUGACGCUAUGAAUGCUUAAAUGAGACUAGCUGUUAUCAUAUUUAUAGAUGAAGCUUUUAUAAAACGAUAAAAGUUGGGUAAAAUUUUUCUUCAUUUGUCAAUAUCAAACAUAAAGUAAGCACCAAAAUAUAUAACCAACUUCAAAUCCAAAGACGGAUAUUUUGAACUGCCGAAAUUCUGCGCUUGCCAGACAGAAGCUUCAUUUUCUUUAAAAGCAAAGGCCAAGGAAUGAAGAAAAGACUGAUACAAAGUUUUAUUACCGCAUUGGAAUAAUAUGAUGACGUUUAUUGUUAUUUUAUGUGAUUCAAUGAGAGAUAAUAUUGAUUAAAAACUAAAAGACGUGGAUUACACUACUGCUUUAUUGUAGAAUUGAUUGCUCUUAUUUGCGUUUUUGUAAAAAUAAAGCAGAAAAAGAAGAAUCAUAAUAAGAUGGCAAUUGUAACACUCCAGUGUGAGGGAUGUAAGCAUUAUGAGACUUUUGUGGUGGAUCUGAACGAAGCCGAAAAUAUGAUAUAAUGUAAGAGCAGAUUGUUCUAGUAAACAGGAGCUUGUUACUUUAUAUUAUUACGUAAGUUACAUAACUUUUUUAUAAUUAUUUGAUAAAAAUCUAACAGUUAUAGAAAUAUAAGAUAAUAAAAUUAUAUUUUUUUCAUAACCGUUAAUUUUUUAUCAAAUGAUUGUGGAAUAAUUAUGUACUUUACAUAAUAAUGUAAGGCGACUAAAGCCCAAUAAAUAACAUACUUUCAUUAAUAAAAUGAAAAUUUUCAUUGUAGUAACAAAAUUGGAAUAUUACGACUUCUCCAACUUUAACCGUCUUAACAAAAUUGGGCCAAGUGGACCAAUUAAUUGGCAAGAGGACCGAAUAGAUAUUAUUUUUGCGUGUAAUUUUGGGUUCUUUAUAUUACACGCAAACAACAAACACUGAGAAAUUGUUGGGGAGCACUUUGGGUCCAUAUGUAUCCAAAUCUAGCUAAUAGUUACUUUCCACUAAUCAACUAUUCGAUAAAUGGGCUAGUGUAUUGACACAUAUAAAAGUCACAUCUAUAUAUAUUCAUAAAGUUGGAAUUUGAGGAAGUGGCGUGGCAUCACUAUUUCUCAUCUUUAUAUAUUUUUUAUUAUCUAAUAAAUAAAGAAAUUUUCUUUUAGAUUUAGUUUUUUAACUUCUCACAAUUAAUUUGAUUGUUAUUACACAAUAAUAAUUAUGUAAAGGUUUUAAUGAGACAUAUUCUUUGUAAUGAACAUCCAAGCGGGAGUGUUAUGAAUUUAUUAAAAUAAAUGCAUAUGUUCAUAACAUAUAUCUCUUAGUCUCCCAAUUAUCUCUCAUUAGCAACAUUUAGCUUCCCUAUAACUCCCACUAUCUCACAAUGAAUUAUGAUCCAUAAUUUUUCAUUAAUUUCAUGGAGUGAUUAUAUAACUAUAAAAAGAGAGCUCAUCUUUUUAUUUUGUACACACACAAUUGGAAUGAAUAAAAUCACUCUAUAAUAUAUUUUCUUAUUUUAUUCUUUAUCUUGCGUUGCUUCUUUAUUUGUAUUGCUGGCUAAUAAUUAUUUUUUAUUUUUUAUAAGGUUGUCUCAUCUUAAAAAAAAAUCAAUUCAUAUUUUUUAUUAGUAAAAAAAAAUAAUAAUACUAAAUUCUUUUUUUAAAGCCGCGUGAAGCGCAGUUCUAUUUUCUAAUGUCUAUAUAUAUUUCAAGCUUUAGAUUAUAUCAAUUAUACAACGCACAUUUCAACAAGUCUAUUCCGAUUUCUUGUCUCACGAAUGACAUGUCGGUAGAAAACAAAACGAUAAAUAACGGACCAUCUAAAGUCUCUGUGUCAAUUAAAAUAUUAUUAUUGUUGACGUGUUAAAAAAAAAAUGAAUGCAAAUUCUCUUUCCCCACGACAUUUUCAAUUGGAAAAUGCUUAACAACUUGACCCAACUAAAUGAAUGGAUUUUCUCAUGUUAACAAGGGGUUAUGUCUCUAUUUGGGGUUUCUUUGAAUAUUUUUGUACUUCAAAUUUUAUUUUUUUCCUGUACUUUUCUUCAAAUUUUUUUUUUAUAUUAAUCUUCAAAUUUUAUUUUGUCAGCUGUGACGUUAAAGUUUCCUUAUGGAUGAAACUUCAAAAGUCUCAUGUUUCCAAGGUUCUCCGAAAUUAUUCCUUUCUUAAAUGAUUUGUUGUAAUAAAAUGUUUCUCAAUGUGUAAAGCUGAAAUUGGAAAUUUCCAUCAUCCCACCGCUCGAAAUAUAAAUAUCAUAUCAUUUUAUAGGAAAAAAAAUUAAUAUAAAUGCUCAAUAUUAUUAAUUGUGAGGCAUAUAUUUAAAGAAAUUAUGUUAUUUUCGCAUUGAUAUUUCUUAUAAAAGUUCAUGUGAUGCAUUACCACAACUUUUGAAAUCUAAAUUGUUAAGCCUAACUAAUAGAGAGUUCUUAAGGGUGAAAGUAAUUCCUUUUUUUUUUUAACUGCGAAGACAGUAGAUUCGUAAGAUCAAUUUGCAAGCUUCAGGAUUUAAUUUACAUAAAUUGCUUCAAAACUAAUAAAUUUAACAAGGAGGCACGUCUGGUGGUGGAGGUAGCAAUCUUUCUUGGGGUGAUUCUCCGUUCUUUACAAUGAAUACCGUCUUCAUUCCCCAUGUAAGGUGCUCCUCUCUAUGGCAGUGCAUAAACCAGACUCCUGUACCAUCAUGAUAAUAUUUAUUAUUAUAACCAUUAUAAUGAUAAAUGUUAAUGAUGAUGAUGAUGAUGAUGGGAACUGUUAAGACUGAAGAGAAAUUGCUUGACCAAAAAUAUAAACUAAUAGGUAAAAGUUCUUAGUAAGUUUCUCAUGUAAAAUGUGUCAAUCAAAAAAUUUAGAUAACCUAUUGAGGGGGCCAUGGCCCUGCCAUAGAAAUUUUUUAAUGCUAUAGUAUGAAAAGAUAUUUUCUUGUAAUAAAUUUAAUUCGACUUCAAAUUUGGAUUUUUUUUUUUAUAUGUUGGCCACUAUUAUUUAUCAUUUACUGCAAAAUGAUCCUAUGCAUUUCUGAAAAUUUUCAUUCAACGCGUCCUUUCCUAUACUUUUGUAUCAGUUAUUAUUUAUGACACAAUGACCCACAGAUUAAAUAUUAUGAUUUCGCCACCGGGAUACAAACACGAGACCUUCAUUCUAAUACUUUGUUAGAAAAUUUACUUGACCUAAAAGCUUAAGUUAUCAGCAAGGAUCCAAAUGGUAGAGACAAGUCUUAAUAAGAUCGAAGACAAGGAAGAAUCAAAGAUGAUGGUGAUGAGUGACGACAUACAUACAUAUAAUGAUGUUGAAGAAUAGUGCUGCUUACCAGGAUUGCUUGCCCUGAAUCUGACUGUAGCCCAGCCACUAAUAGGCACAUCCACUAUGGUCCGGAGAGGAGGAUCAAUCAGAUUAUAAUUUAAUGGGUCUUUUUCUUCGUCAAAAUUUCCGAACCCAAAUCCAACAACAAAAAAACUGUAUCCAUGCAAAUGUAUUGGAUGACUUGUCCCAGCAACCAAGUUUGUCCCUUGGAAAUUUAUCUCCACAGCUGAAUCAUAAUCCAAUACUUUCACUUCUGUCCCUUGUUCUGGAAUCUGUAAGAUCAUGGGCAAAUCAUCUGCUGUGAAGUUAAAAAAAUAUGGCGGAAAGUCUGGAAAAUUCUCUCCAUAAACCCCAUUGAUGCGAUCGUAGUAAGCCUCAAGUAUAGCAAUUGAUGAUGGCUCAACAAAACUUUGGUUGUUCAAGCUAGCAGCAAGUCGAGUUCCAUUCGGCCCUUCACACGAAUUGUUAUCAUUUUCACAAGGCAAUGUGUUUAACGAAACAGUUGAAAAUAUCGAACUGGUAAUGUCUAACGGGACAUCUAUGGGAUGAUCUUCAUUUGCCAAGCUCCGAAGGCUACCGAUAAAUUGGAAGGCCGAAUUUGUGUCAUUCCUAGAAGGAAGAUAAGGUAAAGGAGGAGAUGAAAUUGGAGUGUAAUUUCCAUUGUAUUGUAAUACAGCCGUGGCCGUCGUGUUGUUGAUGAAAUCAAGAUUGACUACAGUGGAAUAAACACUUGAAGCCAUGUAGUAGAGAUUAGGGUUCUGGUUGGCUUGUAACAACACAUCUAGGGUUUGUCCUGGUGAUAUUGUAAUGUAACUGGUUGUUAAUGGAUUAGUGUAAGCACCGUCGGUUCCCACGACUGUGAGAUCGUGAUUUGCGAUGGAGAAGAAAAGCAUUUCGUCCAUUGCAGCAUUAAUUAUGCGGAGAAGAUAAGUUUUGCCUUCAUCCACUGUUAGCGUGAAUGUCUCUGCAAUAUAGAAUAUUAUUAAUUAGUUGUUAGAAGAAUUAUAAAAGCAUUAUUAAUUAGGAUACAUUUUUGGUAAAUUUUCUUCUUUUUUUUUUAUUCCUCUAAUUCAUGUACCGAAAAUCCGAAAUGACUCGGGCGUAUCCAAAAUUAUUUUACUUUAAAAAAAAAUUAAUUAAACCCGAUUACGUGUUAAUUGCAUAUAUACCUGAACUCGAGCAUGGGUAUAAAUCACCAGGUUGACCAUUUAUAGUAAAAGCGUCCGAUGCUGCUGGCAGUCCCCCUGUUCUAAGUAGUUCAUUUCGAACUUCCGUCACACCUUGCUUCCACCACUCUCCUACAUUUUUUUUUUCCCAUAAUGUUUUUAACACUAACUAGAUCAUUAAUUUACGUUCAUUAAGAUUUUUGAUAGUAUUUAUGUGAAAUAAAUUUCGUAAAAUAAACUACCCAAAAUGAUUGGAACUUCCGCAUUGGGUUCAGGAAAAGGAUAGCCAGCAGUUCCAGGCCUCGGCUGUAUAAUGAUAGCUCCAUGUACUGUGGCACGUGACCAUUCACUGUGAGCAUGCCACCAAAGAGUUCCUUCCUCUUCCGAAAAAAUUAUCUUCUGCCUGAAGCUUGCUCCAGGUUUGAUUGGGCACUGUGUUAUGUAUGCAGGACCAUCGGACCACGGAUACCUAGGCUGUCUCACUCCGUGCCUGGACGUGAAAUCAACCCUAGUCUGUUAAGUUUACAAUCGAGCUAAAAGCUUAAGCUCAAAGGUAAAAGCUCAGUAUUUCAUUGGUGAUACAGAAACAACCCCCUUUUUUUUUUUUUUUUUCCUUUUUAUAGUACAAUUAAGUGAAAUAAAAGAGCUAGCUGUACAUAUUUACCAGUGAAUGGUGAUAUUUUCUUUGCCUUCAUUAGAAACCUCGACGAAGAUUGUAUCGCCUGUAAAAACCCUAAUAGUUGGUCCAGGGAAUUGUCCAUUUACGGUCAAGAUAUUCUUUGUGCUGCAUAGCCUUGUAUAUGAAGCCUCCUUUACCUACACAAAAAAUUAAUUAUGCAGUAGUAUAUCCUUAUGCGAAGAAAAAGAAGAAAAAUAUUUAUCGAUAUUCACAUUUCUUAGUUUAUGCGAUUCAAAUUUUAUUUUUUUUUAACAUGCCACUUAAACAUAACCCAAAAAUAAUUAAAAAUUCAGAAUGUUAAAAGUAAUAAUAAUAAAGGUUACAAUAUCGUUAUUAAAAUGGGAAGAAAUGGUCAAUAGCCAAUCGAAUACGAUAUUGCAUAGAUUCCCCGUCCCUCAGGUAUGCAUGAAGCUAGCUAGAGACUGAUCGCUAGAGCAGCGCCUCACAAAAAUGUUUAUUUUUAAUUCGGAUAAUUUAUAUUUUCAAUCCAAAUUAUAGAUUUUUUUUAUUCUCUAGCCCAGCGAACUUUAAGAGUUUUACGUCUUGCCCCAGAAAUACAUACUUUUUAAAUUUUCAGUAUUCGGCCUAAUGCCUGCCUAUAGACCUUUAAUUACCCAUGAGAGUGUGUGACAUUUGGACCCCCGGAUGGAAAGAAACAAAGCCUAUAGAGGCCAAGUCUAAGAACUACAUAUAAAACUCGGGACCAUAAUAGUAAUAAAAAAAGGAAAAUAAACCUUAAUUAGCAUGAGCCAGAGAAUAAAAACCUAUCUCGAGGCAAAAAUGUGAAUAGUUAUUUCUAUCUCUCAAUUGAUUUUGAGUUUUUUUUUUUUUUUGGAAAAGGGGCCGUGGCUGCUUAGGACAUAGCCGGGCUCCAUCCUGGAUGCAUAAAGCUAAAAAUAUAGUAAAGAAGCUCUUGAAAGCAAAAAUAAUUAUAAACAAAGGAAAUAUCUUUAAAAUGUGCAACUAGGAAAUCUAUAGGCAUCUCACAGCAUAUGUAAUUUUGUAAAUCAUGAAUUGCCUCUCUGUGAUAGAAAGAGAAAGUACAGUACUACUCACCACGAAAAGAUAAUCAUUUGAAGCCGAGCGGAGGCUAAACAAGAGCUGAAAGCAGAAUAUUUUUAAGCAGAAGGUUCCAUUGCGAAGACGCAGCAUUAUUCCGAAUUUUGAUAAUAAGAAUACUUUGCUUCUUCAAUUGAUCAAAUGAAAUUUUUUUUUUGGUUCUUAUACAAGUUAGUGAUGAGCAAGAGAAUCAUUUGCUCACGUUAUUAUGAUACUGAUUGCUUAAGGACAGCCGAAAGAACUAAGACAUUCCAAAUAUGUAUAUUGCCCCAAAAAUGCUGAUUGGGACUCAAUUUCUACAAUAAUAUUUUUCAUAAUUGCAUGAUAUUUUCGUUAGCCAAUUGAUAACUUAAAACAAAAAUGACCACUAAUUAAGCUUUAGCAUUUCUUUCAUUUUUGGUUAUUAGCACCCACUCUAAUGUUUUUACCAUGUUUUAUUAUUGUUGUAUCAUUUUUUUCUGUCUUAAAGAAAAAAAAUAGUGAUAUGCAUACUAGUUAUUUCUGAACUGGCUUGGUCAUAUUAGUUUAAAAUUAUGUCAAAAACAUUCAAUAGGGUGGUUAUAUUUAUAGAUAGAGAGAAUAACCUAUAAUUUUAAGAACAAAAUUUUGGAACGAAAGUUUUAAUUAUGCCAAAAUUUCCAUGACGAAUUCUUUAGUAAAUGUCGAGCCAUUAUCUUGCUGUGAAGUAAAAAAAUAAUAUCUAAAUAUAAUAUAGGGAGAUUAUCAUUUUUUCCAUAUUAAAUUAAUAUAUAUCACUUAUCCUUUUACCCCCUAACACAAAAAAUUUAAAGAAAAAGAUGGGUAAAUGGGCCAUUUCUAAUAAUAUUCUUAUUUUCAAAUACAUUUUUAUUUUUAUUUAUUAUAAAUUAAAUAAAUAGAAAUUAAAAUAAAAAAUUGGAAGUAUUAAAAAUAAAAAUAUAUAUAUUUGGAUGUGAAAAAAAUUAAUAAUAAGAUAUUAUAAAAAUGCCCAUUGAUCCCCCUUCUUCUUUAAAAUAUUUGUGUUAGAGUAGUUUUUGGAUAUUAUAAAAAUAGUAGGGGAAUAAGCGGUAUAUUGAUCUCAGUAGAGAAUAAACUGACAAUCUACCUAUAAUUUAAGUAGUAAAUUAAUUUAUUCUAAAGUCCAUUUUUGAUAACCCAGUGCGUGUGUAGUUCGAAUGUGAUGCUCAAAAACUAAUAGAUAGAUGGAUAUAGCAAGCGAUACACACAGAACAAAUCAAUGAUGGCCCAUUAAAUCUAGGAUAUACAUAAUUACUUGUUCAAAAUAAAUUAAAAAUGGUGAGAAACUACAUCAUUGCAUUCAUACAAGUUUUUUUUUUUUAUUACAUUUAAUAAGAAUUAAAAUAAUCUUUGUCCCCUCCUAAAUCGUUUGUGUAAUAAUUUUGUGCUUUUAGGAAUCAUUUCGAAACAAAGAAAAUCUAUAUUUGUCUUAGAGGCCUUUUUAUCAGAAUAUUUUAGUCAAAUUAAAUUUGACUUUGGCUGCAAUGACACAAUUUUUGCUGAAGAGAGGUCCUGCUAUUUUUCAACACCCCUAGUUUUACAGGUGAGCUUUACAGCAAAUUAAAAAGUGGUAGCAGGUAUUAACAAAGAAGAAAACGACUCAAAUCUUAUGAUAGGUUUAUCUAUCCCUUUCUUGGAAUAAUAUUCCAAAAUAAUUUUACUUGUUUAAAACACCCAUAAAAAUGAAAUUAAAUUGCUUAGUUAACAAAGGUUUAACUAGUAAGUAUAUGUAACUAAGUUAUUUCUUUUCUAGUUGGCUUAAGAGAUUAAGAAAUGAUUUUCGUCUGUUGCAUAGGACUUUCUGGCAUCGCUGCAACUACAGCAUUUAUUACGUUGACAAUUGGAUGUUAGUGAAUUCAGAUAUGGGAAACAAUAGCGUAUGAUUAGUUAUCAAUCACUAACUUUGAGCAAAAAGUUGUCGAUCGAUCGUUGUUUUGUUUUAUUCAUUUGCUUUUUAAUGGACAGUAUAAAUUCUUUUCCGAUGAACAAAUAUAGCCAACGUAGUUGAAGAUAAAAGAAUCGUACCCGUUUUUGAAUAACGACAUUGUAGAAAUAUUGAAUGAAGUUGGUUGAAUUUCAACCCUCCAAUUUAUUAGACUUUAUGGUUUACGUAGCUUACAAAAGCAAAUAAUCCAAUAGUGUCCGAAAAGAAUGUAACGUAUGCAAACCAUAUCCUCUAUUACUUAGGAUGCCAGUGAGACGGAAAGGAAUAAUUUGGAAAAAGAGUGAAUGACAUGAAUAUAAAAUAAAACAAAAUUCUCUCAUUUUUCUUCUUUUUUUUUUUUUUGUUGUAAAUCAUCCGGUGUCUUGCGACCGCAUUGGGCCUUGACUAAUCCGGAUUCGGGGUGUAGUCACAGUUAAGGCUCUUUACCCCUCCCAAAUAGUGUGUUUAGUGGGGAUCGAACCUGAGAGCUCUUCCCACAAACUCAGCCUGCGCUGCCAACUGAGCCACAAUCAUUUGGUCUCAUUUUUCAAAGAGACGUACUUAUUUUUUUUUUUUUGUUUGGUUAAGCUUUUUUUCUCUCACUUUUUCUUUGUGCUUUCAAUCGUAGUAUAAAAUUUUAUUUAUUUUCUUAACACUAAAAAAGUUAAAUAAUUAUGUCUAAAUAAAAUUAACAAAUGGAUACAUGUCAUGAUUGAUUGAGUAUAAAAAAAAUGUCCAACAAAAUUGACACCGCUGUCAGCAUUUCCACUUGCAAGCACAUCUGGCACCCACGUCUCUAUUGAAGUUAAAUAAUAUGGAAGAAGAUCAUUAAUUAUUGAAAACCUAAGUAGAGAAGUUUGUAAUCUUAUUCUCAUACGCAUGCAAUCAAAUUCUCAGUUUCCACUAUAAAUAAAGAUUUGGAACUGUUUUAGAUCUCAAAAUAGCAGGCAGUUAAUACGAAGACUUUUGCUGAGUAAAGCCCCAAAUGCAUAGGCUAGCUGUUAUACAUUUGUACACAAGUAAGUUCAAAACAACAGUUUUACACCGCUGAGAUGAAUGUAACAGUUAUGCAUAUCCGAUCGAUGUAAACCUACGAACAGAAAGUAUGUUUAAUCUACAACCUCUUAUGCAAGGAUUGAAACUCUAACAUCAUGCGUGAUUUAAACACUUUGGGACAUUCAAUGAUCGAAUGAGCAAAGCUAUAAGUUUUCUGUAUCUUCAGCUGCGAGGAUUAUUAAACAAUCGAAAGCUUGACUAAAGAUAUAUAAUUAAGCAAGAGAAGAAUAAAUGUAAUAGCUAGCCUGUGCCUACCGGUUUAAGCGGGAACUUCUAGUCUGGGCUGUGGUAUGAGUUUAAAGGUGUCUCCCAUAAUUAGAGUCCUCCUCAAGAUACCUCGUGGUUAAGACCAAAAAAAAAAAAGUCUCCAUUGGCUUCAGAACUUGAAAACGCGUCAAAUGACACCAAAACGAGUGAGUUUGGCUGCCGUUUUGGGAGGAGACGAGAGUUUCCUUUAGUUGUGUUUCUAUUCGUUUUCUUUUAUUCUUAUUAUUAUUAUUAUUAUUAUUUUACUUUUUUAAAUUUGGAAAACUGUUGGAUUGGAACCGAGCAGUAUAAAAACCAAUUGGUUUCAAUUGACAAACUCGAGCCAACUUAAAAAAAAAAAUGUAAAUUUUGAGUUACUCCCUCGUGAAUUAUUGAUAAUCUUUAAAUUGUCCCCUUAUUUUUAAAAAUAUCAAAUUAUCCGUUAAAAGUAGUUAAUUUUAACGAUUGACCGUCAUUAACUUAUUAAAUAUGAAAAUAUCUUUUUUAACAGCCUCGUUAACUAACGGUUUUAAUAUUAAAAAAAUAUUAUUAAAUUGAUAAAAUAAUAAAAAUUACAGACCUUAAGAUCCAAAAAAAAAAAUCUAUCUCUUCUCAAUUUCAUCUUCACUAAAUCAAAAUCACAUUAAACCUAAUUGAGAUACCCAUAAUAUUGGUUGGCAUGGCUACAUGUGGCAAAGGAUUUGGUUGCCUUGACCGCGUGCAGCCAUGGCUUGGUUUCCAUGGUCGCAGGGCACCAGGGAUUUGACUGCCUUGGUUGCACGUGGCCAUGGGUUUGGUUUCCAUGGCAGCGCAUGACCAAGGGUUUGGUAUCCAUUGGGGUAAAAUGAAAAUUUUUAAAGCAUUUGGGGCUUACUAUAAAUAUUUAAAAAUUUUGUGUGUGUUUUAAAAUGUUAGAAAGAUUUAGGCUAUAAAAAUUUGCCUACAUAGCAGCUUGGUCUUUUCCUUCUUAAUUGACUGUUAGGAAAAUGUAUAAAUUUAUUUUACCCUUUUGAUAGUUAAAAAUAAUAGAGAUAACAAUUUUUGAGGGUAUAUUUUCAAGAGUAAGGAAAGCAAUUUAAAUAUUGUUAAUUCACGUAAGGGUAAAUCCAAUAUGAACCUGAAAAAUAAACACCUCAUUUAGUUCAGGAUUGUCAAUCGUGGGACCUAGGUAUCAAAAGUUAUAUAGUCUGUAACUUGAACAUAUUUAAGAGUAAUACGUGGGACUUAAAAGCAAUUAUUUUUAAAUACUUUUUACUUUUUCUUGGUAAAAUAAAUCUAGGAGAACUUUUCGGAAUCUCUGUACAAACAAACUUGUAGGUUAGGGGAAAAAAAAACUAUUAGUAAUCCAAAAAAGAAAACAAAGAAAAUAUAAUUUACAUACAGAUAGCAAAUAUUAUCGUCCAACAUUUUUUCUUAGGUCUUGGGCCACAUUUAAUUAAUAUAUUUCGACUCCUACGUUACUGUUUACCUAAUUUCUUAAUGAUACAUAUUUAUACAGUUAAAUUCUUCGUUGUGUUACAUUUCUCAGUUCUAUUUCAACCCAAUAGGCUAAUACAUGAAAUAAAAUGUGGAGAAAUGUAACAGAAUACACAAGAAAAAUAAAAACAAAUGGGCGAGAUGUCAUGUUCUCCACCGAAUAUCAUAAUGAAUAGUUUUGUUUCAAAUUUGCAAUAACCUCAGCUCUCAAGGACUUCUUAUAAAUGUUGUUAUAUACACCUACCUUCAGGUACAUUCCAUGCAUAUUAUUAUGUAUACGAUUCCUCUAGAGUCUAGAUUGUUAAAUACUAACUAAGCAACAAAUUAUAUCUGUGGGAACCAUACCCAUUAAUAAUAUGGUUCCUUGAAAUACAGCGCAUAAAUAAUGCAACAAAAAGUAAAAAUAAUAACAACAACAUCAAAGGUGAGAGCUGUCAUGGCUUGGUCACUCAGCUCCAUAUUUCUUCCUCCUAAUCGAUCCACCAUGUCCGGAAUUGAUCCGUAGUUCUUCAAUGCUUGAUCAUAAGGAUCUUCAAAUUUCAUUUUUAGCUUCUCAGCUUUUCGGCUUGCAGCUUCUUGAGCAAGUGUCCAGUCAUAAAACCUUCUGCUUUCUUCAUUGCUUAAUACAUCGUAAACUUCCCUUAGCUUUAGGAACUUCUCAGAAGCAGCUUUUAGAGGGAGUGAUGUUGCGUCUGGGUGGUACUCUUUUGAUAAUCUUCUGUAAGCUGAUUUUAUCUCUUCCAAAUCCGCGCUUGGUGAUAUUCCUAAGAACCUGAAUUUUAUAUAUUGACUAUUAAUCGAUACUAGCCAGCUACUUGAGUUCUGAACAUUGAGGCUAACAAUAAUUUUCAAAGAGAACUUAUUACAUUUCGAAUUAACUACAUCUUACAGUUUUUGUUUUUUUUUAAUUUAUUCGGCCGGUUUUGUAAGAAAUCUAUUGUGAAAUUGUGUAAAUCAUCAUAAACUUACUAGUUAUAACUAAUACUGAAUCCUUAAUAAUUUUAAGCUAUUAAGUUGAGAAGUUUCCCUAUCUCAAAUAGAGUAAAUAGCACAUGUACAAAGUUUAUUUCAAAUAUAUAUAUGUACAAUUAUAAAUUAGUAGAAUUUGUGAAUAAAUCACCAACUAUUGGAUGAGCAAUAUCUAUUGAAAAAGUGAAACAAGAAAAUGGAAUAAAAAAUAAUAAUAAUAAAACAAACUUACUGGUAAUGAGAAUCAGAGGAGUUGUUUAAAAGAUCAGCGAACUUCUCACCCAAGAGAUUCUUUUGCUCUUCUUCAGCAUUAAAAUUCUGGUUUGUUUGGUGUGACGAUGAUGAGCUUCCACCAAUCCACCCUUCAUCUUCGUUUUCCCAAUGAAUCCUUGUAUCAACUCCCGGCUGCGCUCUUCGUUGGCUCUUGUUACUGCCAGCCUUUUGCGAUGCAAACACACGCAGAAUUUUGCUUCUUGUCCUUGCUGUUGCCGCUCUGGGCUCCUUUGUCAGCUGCUGCAGGCUGCCGUGUUGGGUUUUGAGAAACAGAGAAUAUGGAGAUUGCGGAGAUACUGUGGAAGCCAUGAACAUGAAUGAGAGGGAAAAGAGAAUUGGUGCCGGCUUCCAUUUUCAAGAUGAGAAGAAAAUUUGUUUUUUUCAGGGCCUCAUGUUUCUGUGUGGCCCAGAAAUUCCGAGGACUUUUCUCUCACAAAUCUUUUGUUUUUAAAUUUUAACUGUGACCUCAUGCCACAUUCACAAAAUUAACAAUUUUGGAGGUUUUAGCAAUUUUCCUCAGAUUGUGUGAUAUAUAAUUUAAAAUGUAAAAUCCAUAAACUCUCUGAAAACCCCCUUGAUAAUUGAUUAAUAAUGACGGUGGCCGGUGGGGACUUGAGUGAAAUAAACAGAAAGCUAGAUGGGACCGUAGUCAUAGUUGCAAAUAAAGUAGGGACCUAUACGUUUUCAUCCUUCCUUUUUUUUUUUUCCAUGAAAUAUCGAAAAUAAUCUAAAUUCAAAAUUACAUUGAGAAAUUGGAAGAAAUCUAAAAACAGGUCCGCUAUCAGCUUGUCUAUUUUGAUGAGUUCUCCAUCUUUCUCUGCCGUGAUAAUUAUAAAAUAUUAUCUUUUACUUUGUUGCAGCCAUAAAUGAUAAAUUUUAGACUUCCCAUCGCUGUUUUGCAGUUGUUCCAUGUUCGCAGAGCAAUAGAGUUUGGGAAUUUUAGUGAUUAUUUGCGUAUGUGAUCAUAAGUCUCGGGCUACUAAUCUUCACAGUUAAAAGCACAAUACAAUUAAUUCUGAAGAUUUUUAAUUCCUAUAUAUAGUCUUUUAAUAUUGUCAUAAGAUUAACGUAGAUUUUUUAAAACUGUAAUCACCAUGGAGUAUAUUAUUGGGCAUGUUCUGAGGGGGGAAAAAAGUGUAACUACAUUUUAUUAAAAUAAGGUUUUUGAAUCUUUCAAGUUCUAUCUUUUAAAUAGUAAUGGAACGAGGGUAGUGGAAUCGAAAUUGAUAAAAUAGAAAACACUAGAUAUUAGUACUAGACUAAGUCAAUGCAAUUAAGUUAUAUUCUAAUUGAAGUGUGAUUAGAUCCCAUUCUAAUUAAACGACUCAAUGAGAUUUUUCAAUAACGAGUAAAGUGAGAUUAGAUGAUGCUCUAAUCCAAACGACUCUACAAGAGUGGUUUCGAUAGAUAAUUCUAGAGGGAAUUAUAAAAAAGAAAUUUUAUUGAAUAACUGAAUUUGAAGUUAUAAUAAUGAGACCUCUCUAUUUAUAAUAGAAAUAAAUCACAAUUAUAAUGAAAAUAAAUUAUUAAAUCACAUACCAUAAUCAAUUCUAAUUAAAAUAUAAAAUAAAAUUAUAGAAUCAUAAAAUACUUAAAAUAACAUCUUACAUCAAAUGGUUUGCCAAUUGCCAAGAAUAAAAAACAUAAAAUGGACAAAAUUAUUUCACUCUUUUCAUUUCUCAAAUGGCUUAAAAGGCGAAUUAUAUAAGAAAUGCACAAAACAAAAUAUAAUCUAACAUCUUCUAAAUUGCUAUGAUUAUUUUUUUAUUUUUUUAGUUUCACGUAUAUGCAUAUCAUAACAACAGUGAUUUUUGCUAUUUUUAUAUACAUGCAUGUCAAACAAUGGUCUGAUCAUAUAUUUCGGCAAAGGUAUCUUGUCCCUUUAAGUGGAAAGUAUUUUAAGACUUUAUCAUGUAACAUGCUUACGGUGCUUAAUUACAUGAUUCACAAGGCACGGGAGAGUAUUAAUAAACUGGAACAACCAAAUUUGUUUAAUGGAGUCGAAUGGAACGGUAUAUAUGUCAUACUUACGAAAAGACGUUAGUCUAGAACCUGAGUAUGUCUGAUGGAAUUGAAUGAGACCAUUUGCAAAUUAAUUAACUCUAAAUUUUAGGCCAUUUCAAUAAAUUUAUGUGUCCAGUUUCAGAAAUCAGAAUACUUGCUGAGAAGAUAGGACUCUUGUCUGGCUAAAUUGAGAGCAAAGGCAUGAUGAUGGCACAGAUUGAAAGCAAUUCAUUGCCACGGACACCUACCCAAUUCCCAAACAUGAUGACAAUACCAAUGACUUCAUAUUAGCUUCAUUUGUCUCUGUCUUCUAUCUUUUGGCCCCAUAUUCUCAAAUUUUAGACCAUGCAUGCUCCGAAAUUAUGGCCUGUCUCCAUCUAAUGACAGUGAUUUCAUCUAUUUUUAAAUUUUUAUUCUUUUCACAAGAACAAGUUGAACGAAAUGAAGGUAGAGAGACACAACUCACGAUUUACGAUGACUUAAUUCAAAUUGUAAUUUGAAUUUGGAUUCAAAAUCUAAGAGACUUGGAACUAAAAAGCAACGACAUUUCAAUGAUUUCAAAACAUAAGGUAAUAAACUCGUAAUUAAUCCAAUUUAUUAGACUUCAAACUAAAACUAUGUGCUUAAUUAAAAACAUCUGUCAACUUAUAAUUUGAUUAUGAUUCGAAAUCUAAACAAAAAGAUUUGCAAAAUAAGUUGUUAACUAGUAAACUAGGAUUAUAUCUGAACAUCAUAACAUCAGUGCCACGCAUCCGAUUCAACCACUCUGCUAAACUAAGAUUACAAUUUAUGUUCGAAAAAAGAAAAACUAAGAUUACAAUCUAAACGCAACAAAGAGAAAAUAUAAACUCAUUAUGAACAAUAUGACAAAGUGGGUAAUUUUUUAGUUGCCCUAGCUUCAGUUUUACCCCAUUACAAAAGAAAUUGAAAAAAAAAAAAAAAAAACAGAACAGCAAUUCAUAGCAUCGUUACAUUACAAGAUUUAACAGUCUGUUACGCCGCAGCCGGAGGAGCCGCCUCCGUCGGAGACUGAGAAGCAGAUUCAUCCUUACGACGGUGAGAUGCAUUCUUGUUAUUAUGCAUCCAAACUUUAAGCACGUGUCUUUUAACACCCACUUCAUUACAAAACUGGUUGAGUGCAACGUCAUCCUGCCUUUGCAUUCGCCACCCUAUUCUCUCGGCAAACUCAAGCAUCUUAUCCUUUUGCUCUUGCGUGAACUUAGUCCUCUGCCUCUUGCUCUUCCCCGUCGCCGGACCCACAGUUCCCGGAGGACACACAUUCAGAUUUACCUCCUCCCUCUCGGGGGUCUCCGACCGUCUGUCAUAUUCGUCAUAACGAUCAACGGCUCCCACUAGCUUGGUAGGGUCCUUGAAUAGCAACAAACGCUUUGGCUGCAGGAGCAGCUGGCCCCGGACUUCUCUUCUGUGGAAGUUACGGUGACAGCCGCAUGCAGCGCACGUGAGGGAGUCAUCAGCACGUGGCAUGAACUCGCAGCAGCCGUCGUUGGCGUGGCCGCCGAUGGAGGCUGCGUGGUUCUUCAUGCACUCUUUGUAGUUGAUUAUGUUUGGUUCUUGUUGUGGAUGCGGAUGUUGGUGUUUGUAAGGAACCAAACUGAGAUCCAUUAUUCAAAGUAAUUGAUCACCUUGUUUGAUUUGUUUAAUGAAGGGGGAUUACAAGGUAUAGUAACUGUAUUUAUGUGAAGUGGAAGGAUAGAGGAGAGAUGGAGAUGAAACAAGCAAAAGUGAGAGAAAGAGCAAGAAUUAAUGUUUGUUUUGUUGUAUAGUAAAUAUUAAUCCUUAUUGUGGGAGGAGCGUGACGUGUAUUUAAGAAAGGACACGAGAGAGAGCAGUGCUAUUUCCCUCCCCCCCCAAUUUGAUUAGAUUAUGAAUUCACGUAUUUAGAACACACCCCAAAGUUAUACCAGUCAGAACAACAAAAUUUGUCAUAGUUAGACGAUAUAUAUAUAUAUAUAUAUAUAAAAGCUAAAAAAAUUAAAUAAAUUAACAGUGUGUACUUCUCCUAACUUUCACUUUAGUAAAUACGAACGUGAUAAAUUGUUUCAUGAAAUUUGUUUUCCAAAAUAAAAAAUUAUUAUCCAAAUCUUAGUAUACAAUGAGUUGAAGAUGGGAAAAAGUUUGGACUAGUGGUUAUCAUCUCUCUAAUCUCUUCUUCAAAUUUCUGGAAAUGUAUUUAAGUUCCACUAGUUUGAUGUAGAGUUUGAUUUCUUUGUAAUUUAUUUGGAGCAUAUUAUUCCUCUUAUGAGAACCAAGUUUUGCAUGCCCUCAUCGCCACUUCAACAAUCAAUACUUAUCUCGCGGUCGUGCUUAGGAAAACUGUUCCUAAAAGGUUUUUAAUAGUAAUAAAUUAGAUUUCUAUUAUUCUUUAUUCUUUCUUUAAAAAAAAAAAAAAAAGGAGUUACGUACUGAUGCAUACACCAAUCUAUUGAGAACUUAAUGUUAAAAUGUGUAUAAGACCGCAUGCACUCCAAAAGUUGACUUGUUCUUGUAGUUAUAAGUUACUCAUUUCAAUUGUAAUUUUCCAAUGUUUCAAAUCUAGAGGUUCAGUUAUAAAUUAAUUUAAGGUGUGAAGUUGCAAGCUUGAUAAGUGACUCGCAAUACAAAUGAGUAUAAGUCCAACCUUAUAUUCUUUAUUGCAAGUGGAACAUGUCCAGUUGUAAGGGACGGACACUGCAUAUUUUAAUGGGUGACUUAUGUUACAUCAAUAAUAUUUUUUUUUUAUUCUUUCAAAAAAAAUAAUAUUUUUUUUUAAUAAACCUCAAGAAAGGUAUAAUUUAUUAAAUGAAAAAAAGAUACAAAGUUCAUUUAAAUGAGACAAAGACAAAAAAAAAAUCUAAUAAAGAAAAUACUAAACCAUAAUGGGGUUAAGAAAAUCGGUGCGUAAGUAUCCUCUGGGAAUCAUCAAGUAUAGGCUUUUUAAUUUCUAAUGAGGGAAAAUCUCACCAUUUGAAAUCGAAGAAAUCGAAACCGAAACCGAUGUUGGUUAAAGUGUCAGUGGCAUCAUUCUCUGUAGAUAUGGGGACAAUGAAAUCGCAUACACUUUAUCAUAGUUAGGCAAUUGAGCCAUCAAGUGCGAGCUGUCAAGGAGAAGAUAAGAUGUCACUUUUUAGUGAAGAAUAAGCAGUCAUCGAAUCACAUUCCAACCACAAUGAAUGCUAGCCCUUAUGGUAAGCAAAUUCGAUAGCACAAAUAAUAGCAUAAAGUUUUGCAUAAAAUGAAGUUUGAUUCCCAAUUGACAUAGUGAAGUAGCCCAGAAAAGUUCCAUGAGGACCUCAAUAAAUAGCGCUACAAGAAGCUGGACCUGGAUUUCCUUUAGAUAGAUCGUCAAUAUUAACUUUGACCCAAGAAAAUAUGAGAGGAUGCCAUAAAAUUGUAGAGAUCUUUGAAGGGGUGCGGAGAGGAUUGUUUAAGUUAAGUAGGUUAUAAAUAGGAAAAGAGUCGCCAACAAAGUGUUGGUUCCACUGGCAAUGGAGUCCCCUUAAGUGGCUUGACUGAGUUUGCUCCCCAGUUCGAGUCGCAGGGAAGUCGCCUUUAUUGGGAGAACCUGUGCCUCCCGGUUCGAGCGGAGACUUCUAGUCUGGGUUGUGGUACGGGCUUAAAGGUGUCUCCCACAGUUGGGGCUCUUCCCUUGAUACCUCGUGGAUAAGACCAAAAAAAAAAAAAAUAGGAAAAGAGUCGGGAAGACCUACAAAGCCUGAGCAUAGCUUACUCAAGUAAGAGAUAUAUCUCAAACAUUGAUGCUUAAUACGUGCAAUUAAAGGAUGAAUAUUUUCAAAUUUUAGUUUAACACAUCAAUAACAUGAAUUUUGUUUGAUGUUGUAUAAUUAGUCAUAACUUUAAUUCACUUUAUUAAUUAUUUAAUAUAGAGUCUUUCUUUUCUAGUAGGCAUUCAAAUUCAAAUUGUCAGCUAAGGGUAUAAAUAAAUUGAUAGAGUCUCAUGAUUGAACCAGUGGCGAUUUCAGAUAGUUGAUGGAGAUAUCAAAAUCCAAAUAUUUCUACUCAAAUUUAAUGGACAAUGAAACUCUAAAAACUUAGUGUAUGCGUGUAUAGUGAGUAAUGUUGCAUUUACCACUAUCAUUCAAAAGGUUUUCUGAUUUCUUAGUAAUUUGAUUAUCAAUUUGUCAUGAUAGGUAUUGUGUUUAUAACAUGUUUUUUAUUUUCUUAAACAAAUGUAGUUAGUUAAUAAAUCAUAUAUCACGUAAUUAACACAAUUCGGAUACAUCGAUUGAAUAACAUCUCGAACAAUGGUUCUGAUAAUACUUUAAAAAUAAAUGAUGUUUGUUUGGGUUCAAAUCAAAAAACGUAUGUAUUAUAUUACCAAUCAUUAAAAAAAUAAAAAAAAAAAUUAAUUUGAAUACCACGCAAUAUCAAUGCUCUAUAAAUGAAAUCCAAACAACUUGUUAAAAUUUUUUCGUAGAUGUGAAAAUUGAAAUUAUUUCACCCAAUCUUUCGUAUGCCAAAAAAUUUAUAUAUAUAUAUAUAUAUAGAUUCAAUUUCCGUUGGGGACAAUGCAACAACCAGCGGCUCUUUCAAGUUUCCGACCCUCAGCAAUCAGCGCAUGAGUUGCAAAUUCCAAAAAAGAACCAGUCCGUAGGACCCACAAGAGAGAAUGUGUCGAAUGUCGAUAACCCGCUGGAAUGCUAAUCACUGUACUCUAACCCCAUCUUGUGAGAGGUCGAUAUCUCAUUCCCAGGGACGGGGGACCCACCCACGUGGAUUCAGAGACAACGGUCAGAGGAUCGGACGGCUCAGAAAUCCUGACUACCUGAUCUUCAGGAGUAUGGGCAAAUAUCUGCAUCAGCUGCUGCUGAUAGGCUGGAUCUGGAUUUGAUUGAUUGAUUGGCUUCGGGCUUCCUCCUUUUUUUUUUUUUUUUUUAUAACACGUCACGCUUCUAACGCCAUGCUAUGUGGGUCCCGCAGUACGAUUAAAAUUUUUUUAAAAAGCUCCAUCAGAUUCAGGCCGAUCACAACCGUCCAUUAGGAUUACUGACACAUCUUCUGACACACGUAAUGGGGCUUUAACCCAUUAAUUUUUUAUUCAAUAAUUGUCUAAUCGGCUGCAGAACAUAACAUUUUAACUCAAUGCAAUAGCAACUAGCAAAGAUACUGAAAACUUUUUUUUUUUUUUUUUUUUUUAAUGAGGCAAGACACUGUAACUUUGAAUGUGACUAACGAGUUUUUACAAUAUAUUUUAAGUAUUGCUUUUAUGAUACAAGUAUGCUGUGUUCUUAUUAUAGACAGACGGAGGGGGAAAAUAAAUAGUUCGGUGUAUUUACUUUUUAUAUUAAGAAAUUAAAAUUAUUAACAACGUUUGCUUCGUAAGUUGAGAAUGGAAAUUAGAAUUGAAAUGGUGACACUCAUCUUAAUUUAAAAAUGAAGAAUAAGAAAUUGAUCUUCAAAGACGUGGGAAUCAGCCUCACUUUCCUAUAAACACAAUUUUACCCAUAUCAGCAUUUUGAUAUUCCAAAAUACUCUCCUUUAAAUAAAAAAUUUAAUAAAAAAAAUUCGCAACCGAACCUCCAUCUUAGCCGAACCAAAAUCAAGCGCAGUCAUCAUCGUUGUUGAUCCGUCGGUUGUGAAAUAACAGUUGGUUGCCGGUUUUGUCUCAAUUUGAUUUGUCUCCAUUUCGUCUCCGAUGGCCAUGGUUCCAAUCUAAUGAUAAUAAUGAUGAUCCCAAUUUUGAUUAUUACUAUUAUUAUUACUUUUUGAAAUGGAUUAUUAUUAUUAUUAGUAGUAUUAUAUUAAUGAUAAAAAGCAUCAUCAUCAUCAUCAUCCUACUACUACUACUACUACUACUACUACUAAUAAUAAUAAUUGAAUAAUAAUAAGCACAAUAAUUAAAAUAAAAAUAGUAAUUAUAACAAUAAUUAAUUAAGAAUUUUGUAAUAAUUUAUAACAAUCUAACUCAUUUCGAUUCAAAUUCCAAAACAACAUAAACACAUUAAUAAAAAUAGAGUUCAUUCCAAUUUUGAUUUUUAUAGCUCAAGUAAACAAUUUAUUCUGAGUUCGAUUCCACCUCUUUCCGUUCCCGCUAAUUAAAUGCAACAGUAGGAUUUUCUCAAAGUUUCUUACAAAUAAUCUUUUCAAUGAUGCGAAAAAUACAUACUGACUUCGAGCGAAUGGCUGAAUUAACCAAUAACAUGACCACCUUGUUUAUCCUCCAUGAACUAAUAAUACAUACAGACUUCAAACCCUUCAAACAUUUGAUUAUUAGAUGGUUCCUAGCCCCUUCAAUAUAACUUGUAGAAUAUACUUUUCUAAACAUAUAGAUAUAAAGUUUUUCGAAAUAAUAGAACCUCAACGGGGAAAAAGAUACCCUACAUCGAGCAAAACCAUUAAAUAAAAAACGAAAAAUCUCAGAAUACAAAUACUUUAAUUACAGAGCUAAAACCCCCAUACACAAGUUACAUAAAUAACAGAGGUAGAUGGGCCAAGGAUGGACAGAUCAUAGCAGAGAAAAUUCUACAAGCAAGUUCGUGCAAAAAUAUAUUAGGGAGAGCACCUUUCAAUAUGAUUUCCAUUUCACUUGGCUCAAACAAUUAUAAUACCAUUCUCCUUAAUGGUAUCAAGAACAAUCCCAAGCUUACCUCCAAUCCGCUCACCUUUUCUGGGUUCAUAAGACAUUGCAUAUACAUCAGCAUCCUUUGAUCGCUCAGCAAUUAGCUUCCCUAUAAUUCGGCAUGCAUUGUGAUCAGUGAGAGAUGGUAGAGUGUUUCUGAGAUCCUUGGCAUUUGUGGUAGCAACUGAUAUAACUUUACUUGUUGAGCGGUGCAUCACUUUAGCAUGAACGAAUUUCUUAGAAAAGAAAACAUUAAGUAAAAAUGGCCGCAUGUACAUAUCUGUCCUCUGCUUCCAUGAUUUCCUGUUAGGUCUCUUAUCAAGUUCACCCCGAGACCUCCGCGUCCAAGCAGCUUGAAUAAAAGAAUCCUAAAAAUAUUCGGAAAUAAAGGAUCAGUUACCUUUCUUUUUUAAUCAAGAGAUGCUAGCAUUGAUUUAUAACUUAUCACUGUUAAUAAAUGCCAACUAACUAGCUAGUCCAAUCUCUUGGCAUCUUGCUAUUCUUUUCUAUUAACGCUAUAAAAGAGAAACAACAGUAAAGCAGAGGUCCACAAGGGAAUAAAAAGCAGCCAGGGUAAAAUCUAUUGGCAUCAGUACCAAAGACCUGAAAUCAAAUAUUGCCAUCACCAAGGAUUGGAAGGUCAAUGAUUGAAGAAUCCCAAGCCAUGGGGGUUUUCCAUGUCUACAAACUCAAUAAUACAUUUUAAUUGUUUCUGGAGAAUUUCCAAGCAAAUUAUAUCUUGAACAGAUCUAUCUGAAAUCAGGACAACUGAAAUUUGUAGUUGGCAAAAGUUUGAGCACUAAUGCAAAUUGCAAUCACAGAUAAGUUCUCUAUUAACAAAUAACAAUAAAUCACAAGAAAAGAAGUCCUCACAUCAAGCUAAACUUAAAGGGAUGAUCAAAUGAAACUUCAAGGGUGAUAAUUAUUUAUGUCAGAGUGCAUAAUUAAAUCUUCCAAGAGAGAAUGACUAGACUAUUAAGCCUUAUGCAUGGAUAUAGAAAGUUCCGAGUUCCCUUACUGCAGGCAAAAAAUGAAUGCUGUGUGCAAGGAAUUCAAAGGACCACAUCAGACUCUCUAAAGAUCCAAUUCAAGUGCCUAUGCUCUAUGUUUCAAUCCCACAAUAAAACAGCUGAUGCUUAAUGUCAUAAUUACAAAAAAUAAAUAAAUAAGCAAAAAUAAAAUUAAAAAUGAAAAAUGAAAAAAGGGUGUUUGCAAAUUCUUAACAGUCCAGGAGGAGGUGGUUUCUCAGCAUAAUGGAAAUAGAAAAGAGCAACCAUUUAUGACAUUUUAAAACAAGACAAGAUCAAGCUAUGUUUCAAAAUAGUAAGCCUGAGUAAUUUUUCUUUUUUUUCGAAGCCUUCAGCAGUUGAAGCUUCUUGAAUGAGUUAGAUAGUUUCCCAUACGUGUCAAAGCUAGCAGAGGCCUACUCUCAAUGUCUGGGUUAUAAAAGCAAAACAUCAGGUUUUGAUGAACUCAGGGAUCCCAGAAACAACUACUUUACUCAGAGCAAAACAAGCAAAGUGGGAAGCAGAAUAGACAAAGGGGUCAGACCUGCCAAAUAGCUCACCCUCCUACCAUACCAAAAUCCAUAGAUAACUCCAAUGUAGGCACAAUAGCAAGAAUAUAGAACCUCGAUAUGAGCUUUCACAGACAUGCCUAGAGACGCUACCAUUGUCAGUUCCCCACUCUCCCAUCAAUCUAAGGCAUGUUGAUGCCUUGCAACUUUAUAAUUCUAAACCUCAAUCAUGAAAUGCAAGGAACUCUAAAUGUUACUUUGCUUGUUCAACAUAUAAUUGAUUAUGCUAUUGUUAGCCACUACCAUUAAUAAAAUAUCAAAAAAAGAAAAAAGAAAAAAGAAAAAAAGUGAAGAAACUUGAUAUCUCCAUUCUGCUAAUGAAAUUACCCUCAGGAGCCAAGCUUGUGCAGCACAUAUUUUCUUGUCCAUGGCCACUUGCCGCAUACCACCCAAGCCAUGAAACAUUAGUUAGGAGUAGGUUAUAAGUAUAUGGGAAGUUUAGCAAUUUCCAUUUUCUUGAAACUUCACAAUGUAAUGGCUCAAGCUUUUGGUUUAAAAAUGACUUGCAAGCCUCUUUAGUUAUUGACCUAUUCAACCCAUAUUAGCUAAUUUCACGUAAACUACUGACUAUGAAGAUAUUUAACUUCGCAACUAAAGACAAUAAAGAAAUCUAAAAUAUUGAUAUUGAAAAAAUUUAAUUAAUUCCCCCAUCAUAUUUAAAUGCUUAAAUAGUACAAAUUUUAAUAACAACUUGAUUUUUCAAUUCAGUCAAUAAUAUUAACCACGAAAUUAUACUCAAUUAUGCAUUUUUCAAAGCAACAAAUAAGGAGGGAUUAAGUUGACAUUCCCAUUUCUAGCUAAUCAAAGUAGCAUAAGUUUCUAUCAAAAUGUUAUCUUUCUUUUAUUUUUCCUGGAAUCCAAAACAGAAGAUAUUAAAGGGGUAAGAAAAAGUGCGGACCUUUCUGUUAGUGGGAGUUGGAGGGCGAGUGAUUGAGCCGAUGGAGAUGCUGAUAGCGGGAAAUGAAGAGGCCCAUGAUAGAGAAGUGAGUUUAUCCGAACGAGUUGAGCGAAUCAAGCGUGUUGACUCAGGGGAGAUGUGUGAAGAAGAAGAUGAUAUGAUGCAGGCCGCCAUUAGUUUUGGGCUUCUCUAGCGGCAAGCGUCUCCACCUCUUCAGGCUUGUACGUUUGGAUGAGCGUUUUGUUUUGUUUUUCAUGUUUUAAUUUAAAAAAAAAUCAUUAAAAAAUUAAAAUUGUUCUUUCUAAUUACCUAAAAGAUUAAAAAAAUAGUUAUUUAUAUUUAUUUAAUUAAGAAUUGAUUUUAGCGUACAAUGUUGGUUGUGAAAAAAAAAAAAUCUUUUUUAUACAUUUGCCAAAGACAUUAUCUUUUUUAUCACUCAAGUCGAUUCUAAUUUAUAAAUCAGUUUAUCUUUAUAUUUAUUUUUACGUACAUAAACAUAUGUAAUAAAUUCAAUCAUCUCUUGAAAUAUAAAUUGAUUAUUUUUUUAAAAUUAUUUAUGAAUGCUUAUAAUAAAUAUCUCUUAUUUAUUAUUUUGGUAUUAGUUUUUUUUUAAUAAUGUUGUUGUCGUUGAUGUUUUUUUCUUUCCUUUUUUUGGUUAUUAUUAUCAUUAUUAUUUACAAUAAAAGAGUAAACACAUUUCGCAUCGGUCCUCACCUCAUUACGAUUUAUGGGCCUCGAACAAUAACCAUUAUUUUUUUAAAAGGCCCAGAUAGGUCCUCUCCUUUUGUGUCCAUCGCAAUUCAAUUUCAACAUCACAACCACGAGAGACCAGUUAAGCGAUUGAAAAGGAAAAGGAAAAGGAAACCAAAUAGACUCCCACUUUUAUCAAAAAAUGGUCGCUUUAAGCCCGUUGUCUCGACUCUCGUGGUCUUCCACUUAGAAUUUCCUUUUUCUUUAUAAACUACGUAAAUUUCACACAAGUCUCCCAUAUUUCGUUUAAAUACAAUGGAGCCUUAAAUGAUUCAAAUUUCAUCACCCCAUCUUAUAUGUAAUAAGCUAAUCACAUAAAUCCAACGAUAUUUUUUUUUAAAAUAUUUGAAAACUUAUUGCUUGCUAAGUUUCUUUCAAUUGUUAAUUUCUAUGGUUGAAAAAUGAAAAUGUCAUGAUCAUAACGGGAAAUAUAUUUUGUGAAAAACAACAUUUUAUACAUGUGAAAAAAUAAGAAAAAUUAUUAUAAUCUUUUCUUUUAAAAAAAAAUCUCAUAUCUAUUCAAAAAAAGUGUCGCAUAGUAUCAAGAUAUGGAUUAUAAUCGUAUUUACUUAUAACCAAAAAGGAAUUUAAGUGACACUUUUAAAAACUUAUGUAAUGUUUGAAGCUCGUAUGUAAUUAAGAGAAAUAGAAUAUACCUCAAUGAAAUUUGGUUUUUCCAAAAGUUUUCAACAUCCGUGUGGUUGGUAAACGAGUGUGUGUCCGUCCCACUAACAAAGCUGGCGCUUUAAUUCUCCAACAAUCGAAAUCCUUUUCUCUUCCUCUUCAGUUGCACAUUCCAUAUUCACUCCCACUCAGUCAGACUCACUUACUUCAAGCUGGCAACAGAAACAGUCACGCGCCUCGGAUCAGAAGUCACGUGCUGCAGUUAAUUCCUUCAACCUCAAAAUCAGAAAAUUAAAAAUCACUCUUUCCGUUCAAUGUACUUCAAACACAAAUAAAAUUUCAUUCAAUUCUUCUUCAGAUCCUCACCAUUCCCUAGGGUUUCGUAAUUUGUAACUUUUAAUUAUCUGUAAUUCAUUUCGGUUCCUUCACUUACUUACUUGCAUCAUGCACGGACUAAGCCGCCUCGGCUCCGCCCGCUCCACCACGUCAUCUCCGCCGUCCUCCCCCCGCUUCCGCCACGGCCGUAACAAGAACAUAGCCGGAAGUCGUGUCGGCAGCGGAGGAGGAAAGCAGAAUUUAGUUGAGAAACUGGUAGUCGUUUUGAUAUCGGCCGUGUUUAAACGCAAAGGCGUGUUGUUAGUGGCGCCGUUGUUGUACAUAUCAGUAAUGUUACUGUACAUGAGCUCGUUCGGCUUCGAUGUUGUGGAUUUGAAGAGUGUUGUUGUUGUGCGUGAGCGUGCGCCGCCUGGCUCCGUGUACAGAAGUCCUCAGGUUUUUCAAAAGCUUUGGCCGUUUAUGCAAGCGGAAGCUAUUGCUAACAAUACGGUACAGUUAUAAGCUUCAUGCAAUUUUUUUUUCCUUUUUUUCAUUGUUAUUUAUUUUCCUUAAGUUCAUUUCUUGCAUGUUAAUGUACAGCUGAAGUAGAUUUGACUGAAAUUAAAAAUGCUCAAAUCAAAAUCAUGCAGUUGAUGACAGCGUGGAAUUCGAAAGUGCACCAACCCUGGAAGCCUUGCGCCGACAGGAGUAAUUCGAAUGCAGGUUCAAAAUUUUAUCUGUUUUUCAAUGUCGUUUCUUCACCGCCGCCUCAAUGUCGUUUCUUCACCGCCGCCCCGCCCCCCCCCCCCCCCCCCCCCCCCAAAAAAAUCGUCGAAACAAUAGUAUUGGAGUACUAGUAUUACCUUAUGCUUGAGAGGCUGCAAGAAGCUAACUGCUGUUUUAUGUUUUGAGAUUCUCAGAAUUGCCAAAAUCAAAUGGUUUCCUUAUAAUUGAAGCUAAUGGUGGGUUGAACCAGCAACGCUUGUCGGUAUGUUUUGGCUCUAGCAUAAAAAUUGUUCUCUUGAUUCUAUCAGUUGUAAGGAAAUUGCAGCAUGUUCUUAUAUGCAUGCUACCAAAAUUAUGUAUUAGAGAAUGUAGUUGCAUAUGGUUUGAUUUGUUACAAUGUGGUUCUCGCCAUUCACUAGAAUAUGAUCAAGAUGCAUGGGAUGGUGUAUUAGAUAAUAUACUUAAUAUUGUCCUAGAUGGACAUUUUGGGGCUUAUUUUUGGAACUUUGAGAUUUGACUUCAUCUUUUUCUGGUUGUUCCUUAUGGAUUGUCAGAAUAAGGCAUCAGUCAUCUAGAUUCAUUUAUUACAGUAGGCAUAUCCUUCGAAACUAGCAUUUACCAAUUAAUUGUUGCAUGAAGAAUGGGAAUGAUUGGAUUUUGGAUGCAUCUUGAAAUGACUGCUAAACUAUUUUUGCUAAGAUUUUCUUACUGCACUCGUCCCUGUUGCUUUCCUCUUUCCUCUUUCUCUUGGUAAAAUUAUUUGGGUUUUGAUGUUGAAUAAGUUAUAGCUAUAAGACACUUCAUUUUGUGUUGCAUGAGCGUGGUUGUUUAUUACUAACUUUCCAUAAGAAAAUAUCCAUUAAUUGAUCUAAAUAUUAAAUUUACACUUGGUGCAUAUUGUUACAUUUUAAAUAUACAUUGCGAACUAUAGGCUUGGUGUAUAUUGUUACGUUUUAAAAAUAUAUUGCUAGUUAUGGGAAUGUUGUUGCAACAAUAGGGCCAGAUACGGCCUGCCAAUGAUACAAACUCAACAUUCUAUGCCUUGAUAAUAGGGGUGUCAACCUUUAAAUUACAUCUUUGGUGUGUAACUUUUCUCUGUUUUAUUUAUUUGUUUAUUUACAGAUAUGUGAUGCGGUAGCAGUGGCAGGACUACUGAAUGCAACGCUUGUCAUUCCAAUUUUUCAUUUAAAUAGUGUAUGGCGAGAUUCCAGGUGAUUAUUGAUACUGUUAUUCUAAGACCUUAAGUCCUUAACCUCUUUUGUAUCUCAUUCUUUCCUCAGAAAAAUAUAAUUCUUAGUUUCUUCUCAAACGUUGUUUUUUCAAACUACAAAAAGAUGAGGGCCAAAAUGAUGCUUUAGUGUUUUGAAAAGAUGGAGCAGUUAUGGAGCAGUGCUUGUCCUCUUAAUGUAAAAAAUAUCACUUAUUUUCUCUCAUAAUUUACUCCUUUAAGCCAUAUUUCUUAAACACAUAUAUAUUUAAUUUUUUUCCUUUGAAUUGCAAGAUUUUUUAGUUUGACUUUAUUCCUUACAUUUUUCCUUUUUCUGAACAAUUUGAAAUUUUUGCAGCAAUUUUGGGGAUAUAUUUGAUGAAGAUUUUUUCAUGCAUGCACUUAGAAGUAAUGUGAAUGUUGUCAAGGAACUCCCGGAGGAUAUACUUCAACAGUUUGACCACAAUAUAAGCAGCAUCGUGAAUUUGAGAGUAAAAGGAUGGUCCAGCCCAACCCAUUAUCUGCAAAAGGUCCUGCCAAAGCUGCAGCAUCUGGGGUAUGCAUUCUUAACUCCAAAUGUUUUAAAUUGAUCAAUACUCUCCAAGAAGAAGCUAAAUUAUUGGGGAUUUUUCUUUGAACAUCCCUUAUUGCAAUGACAAUAUCAUUUCCCUACCAAAUCAAUUUAAAUUGCGUGUUUAUAUUUGAGAAGCCAAAUAUUGGAUUGUUAUUAUCAUUUAACAUUUAUUGGAAAAAGAAAAAUGUUUAGGGUCAUUUUUAGCACCAUGAAUCGUCUGAUUGCUGAUUUCAAGUAGAUCAUUAUGGUAAGCUCUGCCAUGCUAUAGAGUUUUUGGAAUUGUUAGUCAUAUUUAUGGCCCUUUAUUGUUUACAGUGGUUACAACACAAAGUUGUUAACCAUGGAUCAAAAAUUUGUUGACGGUUGGAAUUGUGUGCGUAAAAUUCAAUCUUCAAUCCACUUGCAAUAAUUUGGGGUUGAACCUUAUUUCUAAAUAGUUUUGUUAAUGGAAGUUUAUCUCAUUUCUUUUCAACAAACAUACAAAUCCAAAGCUUAUAGCCUCAUUUCAUGAUGCAGGGCUGUGCGAAUUGCACCUUUCUCCAACAGACUGGCUCAGGGUGUUCCUUCAAAUAUUCAGGGACUUAGAUGCUUAGCCAAUUUUGAAGCACUUAGGUUUUCCGAACCUAUAAGAAUGCUUGCCGAGAAAAUGGUUGAUCGAAUGGUUAAGAAUAGCUCUCAGAGUGGUGGAAAAUAUGUUUCAGUUCAUCUUCGAUUUGAAACGGUACUAUACCUUUUCGAUUUGCUACCAUGGAAAGAUUGUGGGUUAUUUUAUUUCCUCCUAUUGCUGUAUCCUUUAUCAUUUCUGAGUGUCAGUUUCCUUUUCUCUCAAGGAUAUGGUUGCAUUUUCUUGCUGUGAAUAUGAUGGUGGGGAGGAAGAGAAACGUGAAAUGGAUAUUGCUCGAGAAAGAAGUUGGAGGGGGAAAUUCAGGAAAAGAGGACGAGUAAUAAGACCGGGUGCAAAUCGUGUGGAUGGAAAAUGUCCUUUAACGCCAUUGGAGGUGCUAAACUGCAUUGAACUCUCUGCCCUUCCAUCUAUCAAUCUACUUUUUAACAAAUUUAUUUUGAUUUGGUUUCUUGUAAAAUAUGAAUAUCUACUUCUGAAACUAUGUUUCGUCUUAUUAAAGAACAAAUUCCUCAAAUGUUGUGCAAACACAUUGCAGUUCCUUGUUAUAAUAACUGGAUAAAUUAAAUGUUUAAUAAAAUCAAAAUGCUUGGAUUCUUUUGAAUGCUCCGUCUUCAUGGUAUUUGGUUCUCCAGGUAGGAAUGAUGCUUAGGGGCAUGGGUUUUGAUAACACCACCUCAGUAUAUGUUGCAGCAGGUAAGAUUUAUAAAGCUGAAAAGUACGUGGCACCACUUAGGCAGAUGUUUCCACGCUUAGAAACAAAGGACACUCUAGCUACUCCAGAAGAACUUGCUGCAUUUAAGGUAUCAUAUUGCCAUAUUGGUGGUCUGUGAUCUUUAAAUUGAUUUAAAGAAUAAAAAUAACAAUGCUAGGAACUUCUCGUUUGUAAUACUCGAAGGUUCUUAUAUGUAGGGCCACUCGUCUAGAUUGGCUGCUCUUGACUAUACAGUUUGCCUUCACAGUGAAGUAUUUGUCACAACACAAGGUGGAAAUUUUCCCCACUUCUUAAUGGGUCAUAGGCGCUACUUAUAUGGAGGACAUGCGAAGACAAUUAAGCCUGAUAAGAGAAAAUUAGCUCUGUUAUUUGAUAGGCCAAAUAUCAGGUACAUUGCUAUUCAACUCCUGCAAUUUUAAAUUUUCACUUCUGAGUCAUUCGCGACACUACUUGAUUUGAGCAAGGGAGAAAUCUUGUUUGCAAAAAGAUUGUGCUAAAAAACUCAUCAAAAUUUCAUUUUGGUGCUUGCCAAUGCCAAUCUUACAGCUGAUCUUUCUCAUUCCAUAUUUGUAACAUGGGGUAGGACCAAUUGUUGAACCAUUGGAUCAAUGUGCAAACGGUUGAGAUUAAAUCUGACAUAUCUAAUUAAUGCAUAGUAAUGCACCUUAUUUUACGUACACUUGAGAUUUAAUUCAACCAGUGUAAAAUGUUAUGUCUCCUUGAUCCAAACCUUAUGUAUGUGGAUCUAGUAGCUUUUCGUGACAGCAAUUUUGUAGUUUAAUGAUAUUUUUUAUCUACAUCUGGCCAGAUGGGAUGAUUUCAAGCGACAAAUGAAAGAUAUGCUUUCUCACAGUGAUGUGAAGGGAAGUGAGUUAAGGAAACCGAGUGCAUCGCUUUACACAUUUCCCAUGCCAGAUUGCAUGUGUAAACAACCAGAAGCUUCAAAUGACACGGUAACACUAAGAAACUAACUUCAUAAUACGGAUAUUGAUUAAAGAAAUUGUCACUAGGGUUAGAAAUUUUUAUUUAUCUGUAACUUAUGAAGCAUGAUUCAACUAAACUCUAAUUAAAUUCUUUUGUUGUAGUGAUGGGAGUGAAAUUAGGUUAUACUUCUUUGAAAUUGAUUGACUAAGCUACAAUUUGUAGUUUGCCACUCGAAAUUCAUUGUAUAUGAUUCAAUUGAUGUGAGUAAAAUUUUAUUUGGACUGUGUAUUCUAUGAUACAUCUUGUUCUUAGUGGCUUAUGACCAUCAACGACCACAUCGAUAGAAAGUCGAAAACUAUGGGGAGUGGAGAUAAUUCAGUAGAUUGGACCUUUUUUUUUUCAUUGUGCGGUGUUCCUUAUCCGAAGUUCCAUUUGUCAUUUGUGUUUUGAAAGAAUAUAAAAUCAUGGGUGCAAGUUUGUCCAUUGAGUACACAUUGACAAUGAUGCCCUUGAAAUAGAGCACCAGUUUUAAGUAGCUCAUGCCUUUGGUGAGGACGGAUGGGGAAAAACUAUGCCCCCAGGAAUUUCCUUAAUUGAUAAAUCUAAUGAAAGAUCAACUUGCAUAAGAGUGGGUUAUUUGCAAAUUGCAAGGGUAGAAGGCGUUUGCGAUUCUGAAGAAUGCUUUCUACUUUUGGAAAUGAAAAUCCACCUAAAUAAUAUUGUCUGUAAUAUUUUGUAAAACUUGUUUUUCAGAAUAGAAAACUGUUAAACAUGUUCACAAAAAAUUAUAACAUGGAAACUGAAAUCAAGAAAGAUUGGUUCUCUAUGGGACGGCAUGUUUGGGAAAAAGAAGAAACGUGUACACAAAUUUCGUUCAAUUUUUUGAGUUGUUAUACUUGAUUUUCCAAAAAUCAUUCAGAGCUAAAUAUUAGUAGCUCAAAUUUCGUGUACAAGUUGAUGUGUGAUCAAGUAUUAUUGAAUAAAAAAUAACAUGAAGAGUAACUUCUACCACAAAAAUAUGUGAUAAAUUGUUAUAGCAUAAGAAAAAUCAAGAAGAUUAUUUUCCAAUUUCAAACAUUAUCUCUAUUCAACAUAUGGACAAAAGAGAGCCCAAAAGAGAGAGUCGGGGAAAAAAAAAGACAAAAUAAAGCCCAAAAAUGUGACGUAAAAUCAAGAAUACAACAGAUGUAUUCUAGAAUUUAUGCACCAGUAGAUAGAUGGAAGAAGCUACCUACCUACCCAAAUCAAUAUUCAAUGAUUCAAUCUAUCUCUCUCUCUUCUCUUCCCUCUCCUAAUCUCAAAUCAAACCACCUGUGAAAUGUAUGUAUGCGUGUAUACAUGUAUAAUUUAAUGUCUACCAACUUGGUCAAAAUCUCAUAACGAUCGAGUCUCUUGCCUUCUCUCUCUCUCUCUCUCUCUCUCUCUCUCUCUCUCUCUCUUCAGAUAAAUGACAAGUCCCCAUCUCUCGUGUUAAAAAAACUCUUUUACAAAACGAACCGAACCCAUCUCUCUUUUU